UACAGGGGGGGGCAAGCGUUGUUCGGAAUUACUGGGCGUAAAGGGUUUGUAGGUGGCCACUUAAGUCAGACGUGAAAUCCCUCAGCUUAACUGGGGAACUGCGUCUGAUACUGCGUGGCUUGAGUGCAGGAGAGGAACGCGGAAUUCCUGGUGUAGCGGUGAAAUGCGCAGAUAUCAGGAGGAACACCGGUGGCGAAGGCGGGUCUCUGGGCCGAUACUGACGCUGAGGAGCGAAAGCGUGGGGAGCGAACAGG
rnacentral:rRNA from 1 species